GACAACAGGGAUUGCCUUAGUAACGGCGAGUGAAGCGGCAAUAGCUCAAAUUUGAAAUCUGGCGCUUGCGUCCGAGUUGUAAUUUGUAGAGGAUGAUUUUGGUUAGGUACCUUUCGAGUUCCUUGGAACAGGACGCCUUAGAGGGUGAGAGCCCCGUACGAUUGGAUGCCGAGCCUCUGUAAAUCUCCUUCGACGAGUCGAGUAGUUUGGGAAUGCUGCUCUAAAUGGGAGGUAAAUUUCUUCUAAAGCUAAAUACCGGCCAGAGACCGAUAGCGCACAAGUAGAGUGAUCGAAAGAUGAAAAGCACUUUGAAAAGAGGGUUAAAUAGCACGUGAAAUUGUUGAAAGGGAAGGAUUUAUGACCAGACUUUUUCUAGGAGAAUCAUCCGGUGUUCUCACCGGUGCACUUCUUUUAGUUUAGGCCAGCAUCGACUUUCGGCGGUGGAUAAAAGCUUUAGGAAUGUGGCUUCUCUCGGGAAGUGUUAUAGCCUAUUGUAUAAUACACUGCUGGGGGUCGAGGUACGCGCUUCUGCAAGGAUGCUGGCGUAAUGGUUAUCAAUCACCCGUCUUGAAACACGGACCAAGGAGUCGAACAUUUGUGCGAGUGUUUGGGUGUUAAACCCUCACGCGUAAUGAAAGUGAACGGAGGUGAGAGCCCUUACGGGUGCAUCAUCGACCGAUCCUGAUGUUUUCGGAUGGAUUUGAGUAAGAGCAUAAAUGUUCGGACCCGAAAGAUGGUGAACUAUGCGUGGAUAGGGUGAAGCCAGAGGAAACUCUGGUGGAGGCUCGCAGCGGUUCUGACGUGCAAAUCGAUCGUCAAAUCUGCGCAUG
rnacentral:rRNA from 1 species